rfam:Asian citrus Psyllid, Diaphorina citri - Florida Strain, whole genome shotgun sequence.
AUCAGCGGUGAUAGCACGUUAACUGCAGUAGUUCUGAGUGAAUCACUGAAGUUCAGCAACGUUACACGUGUAUAGUAUACGGAUGGGUGACCAUCUGAGGAUCUGGUCAAUCGCAUGCU